rnacentral:lncRNA from 1 species
GGAAAAUGCGAGGCAAUGAAUUCUCCCCUGGAACCUCCAGAAGGAGCACAGUCCCGACAACACCUUGAUUUUGUCCCAAUGAGACCCAUGUUGGCCUUCUGACCUCCAGACGGAACUUCUGUCUGUCCUCUUCACUGCCUGGUCCCCAGAGCCUAGAACAAAGCUCAGCACGCGGGAGGCGCUCAACAAACACUCGUUCACUGAAGCGAAAGGAGGGAAAGGUGAAUUUGAGCUCCAUGCAGACAAGAGAUUCCAAGGGGCCCUGGAGGAGAGUCCCAGCCCAGCCACAGGCACGGGGAUGUGCACCAGGGAGGAGGGGCUCGGAUGGGCAGGACACCUCCACAGCGUGGCUUGAUGAGCGGCGCAUAGGUCUGUGCCGGGGAUCCGAACCAGCAAACCCCAGGAUGCCGAAGCAGAGUGUGUGAACUUAAUCACUACACCACUGGGCCGGCCCCGAACGUUUAUAUCUAUCUCCCGGCAGGAGCUGUGCUGGGGUUUCACAUGUCCUAGCGUCUCUCUUUCUUAGCCUGGUCGGAAGUUACAUGAAUGUGCGUUUCAUUGUUACUCCUGACACCUUAACAAAAGGUUUAAAGCAGACUUUUGUCCUUAUUCUGUAUUCAUUUAAAGCCAUUAUUAAAAGCAAUCCAUCAGGACAAUUGAUUCAGACAAGAAUCCUCAAAAGAAGCUGCAAUUAGUUGGUGAAAGUUUCAUGAAAAACAGGAUAUUUAUGUAGCUUCAAUGUAUCUGCCCAUAAGAUACAUGUUAAUUACAAAGAAGAGAAUUGUAACUAACUUUACAGAAGAGAAACAGAUAGGGACUUAACCAGUGAACAUAGAUUUUUUUUUCUUUUUGGGGGGUUUUUUGCUGAGGAAGACUGGCCCUGAGCUAACAUCCAUGCCCAUCUUCCUCUGCUUUAUACCUGGGACACCUGCCACAGCACGGCAUGCCAAGUGGUGCCAUGUCCGCACCCGGGAUCUGAACUGGCGAACCCCGGGCCACCAAAGCGGAAUGUGGGAACUUAUCCACUGUGCCACCGGGCCAGCCCCAGGUCUCUGGUUUAGAUAGCAAUAUUAUUUCAAUAUUAAAUUUUCUGAUUGUGACCAUUAUACUAUGGUUGUAUAAGCAACAGUUCUCCACUGGGGGCAGUUCUGUCAUCCAGGGGACACUGGGCAGUGUCUGAAGACAUUUUUGGGUGUCAUGCCCAGGAGUGUGCGCAUGUGUGUUAGUGACAUCUAGUGGGUGGAGGCCAGGGAUGCUGAAAUCCUGUCAUGCACAGGACAGCACCCUGCGGCAAAGAAUUAUCCAGCCCAAAUAUCAACAGUGACAUGGUAGAGAAGCCAUCUGCAGGAGAAUGUCCCUUUUCUCAGGAAAUAUAAACUGAGGAAUAAGAAGGAGUCAUGUCUGGGAUUGGUUCUCAAAAGACUCAAAAAAAAAUAACGUGUAUCUGUAUCUACCUCUCUCUAUAUAGAUGUGUGUAUAUGUAUAUACACAUAGACAGACGUAUUUGGUAUAUGUGUGUAAGUGUGUGUGUAUAUAUAUAUUCAUUACCCAAAUUCCCCAAAUGCUAACAUGUUGCCACACUUCCUUAUUAUUCUCUGUCUCUCCCUCCCUCUCCUUCCCUCCUUGGGCCUUCUUUUUUUUUUCCUUUGGUGAGGAAGAUUGUUGCUGAGCUAACAUCUGUGCCCAUCUUCCUCUAUUUUGUAUGUGGGGUGUCACCACAGCAUGGCUUGAUGAGUGGCGUGUAGGUCCGCGUCCAGGAUCUGAACCUGCAAACCCUGGGCUGCUGAAGUGGAGCAUGCGAAUUUAACCACUAUGCCACUGGGCUGGCCCCUCCAUGGGCCUUUCUUAAUAUUCCUUAAACACAUCAGGCAUGUUUCUGUCUCAGGGCCUUUGCACUGGCUAUUCCCUCUGCCUAGAAUGUUUUCCCCCUAGAUUUCUGCGUGGUUUACCCCUUCACCUCCUUCACUUCACUGCUCAUACACCCCCUUCUCCAUGAGACCAUUCCUGACCACUCUAUUGAAAAUUACAAGCAUCGCCCUUAUUCUUUAUCUCUCUCCUGGGACUUAUUUUUCCCCUUAGUGCUUAUCCCCAUGUAAAGUGCUAUAUAUUUUCUUUGCUUGUUUAUUGUGUCUCUCACACAGUCAUUGCGUCAGCUCCAUUAGAGCAAUGACUUUUGUCCCCAGCGCUUGGAACAGGGCCUGGCACACAGUAGAUGUUCCAUCAAUGUUUGAUGAAUGAAUUGCUGUUACAUAAAUAAACUGGCCUAAAAGGAGAAGGAAAUGGGAGGAGGAGAAGGAAGAAAGUUGCUACUCAUCAUCGUUGCAUCUCCCCUUUGCUCCUCGCCUGCUCCGCCCUCAGGCUCAGCAGCCACCUGCCCUGCCUCCCGGGGGGAACAGCGGGAACCGAAGGAGCGAGAGCCGCCGCCAGGGGGCGCUCCUCCUCUGCGCUUGUCCGCGGCACACCUGUGGAGGAAUUUUCCUCCUGGGGGAAUAAAAAAAAAAGAAAAGCCAUGUCUAGCUUUUUCUUAUUGCUGCACAAAUAAUCUCUAAAAACUAGCAUAUUCAUUAUAAACAAUUAAGAAACUAAAGUGAGAAAUAAAAAUGGCUGCACGUGCCCUCCUGGGAACUCACUGUUACAUCUGCCAACAUAUUGUGCUUUGAAGUCCAUUUGCUUAUUCAAAAUAUUUCUGUUCACCUUUUGUUUGGAAGGAUUUUAAACAAACAAACAAAAAAGGUAGAGAAGUGUAUUUAGUGCCACUAAACUGUCCACUUGAAAAGGGUUAAGAUGGUAAAUUUUAUAUUAUGUAUAUUUUCCCACAAUGAAAAAAAAGAUUGUACAAUGUGAACACCAAUUGUCAACUCAGUCUUGUCUCCGGUGUCCCCACUUCCUCCUUAACUGGGUUAUUUUGAAGCAAAUACCAGACGUCCCAUCGCCUAUACAUCCCUGGUUUUACCUUCUAGGAGAGAAGGACAACGUCUUUCAAAAGUACCCAUAAUAGCAUUAUUAUGCUUUAAAAACUUCGUAUCAUCAAACGUCCAGUGAGAGUUGAAGUUUUUAAUUGUUUCAUAAACGUUAUAAUCUGUUCUGCUGCAUUUUAGUUUAUGUUUUCAGGGAUGAUUUGAAUCAUGAUUUCGAAAUAUCCAUCCAUUGCAUUUGGUUGAAAUGUUUUUCAAGUCUCUUUUGAUUUAAAAAUUCUCACUUUUUUUUUUCCCAAUUUAUUUGUUAAAGAACACACAUUUGUCCUGGAGCGUCUCCCAUGGUUUGGAUCCAGCGGACUGCGCCCCGAGGUGUCAUUUGUGGUGUCCCGAUGUUCUCUGUGUUUUGUAAAACUUGGCAGAUAGAUCCAGACCAGAGCUGUUGAAAUAAAAACAUAACGUGAGCCACAGACCCAAGUCACGUGCCUCACUUUAAAUUUUCUAGUAG